rnacentral:pre_miRNA from 1 species
AAGCGAGCAAAGAAGUAGUAUUUGUGUUCCAAAAGUCAAAUAUAACUUUUUUGGAAGCUACGG